rnacentral:rRNA from 1 species
UACGUAGGCAGCAAGCGUUGUUCGGAAUUCCUGGGCGUAAAGAGUGUGUAGGCGGUGCUCUAAGUUCGGUGUGAAAUCUCCCGGCUCAACUGGGAGGGUGCGCCGAAAACUGGGGUGCUGGAGCGCGGGAGAGGAAAGCGGAAUUCCUGGUGUAGCGGUGAAAUGCGUAGAUAUCAGGAGGAACACCGGCGGUGUAGACGGCUUUCUGGACCGUAGCUGACGCUGAGACACGAAAGCGUGGGGAGCGAACAGG